GAAUAUUAUUUCCUAAACUUGACCAUAUUCAUAAUUCGAUGAUGCCUACAUCCAGAAAGACGUUCGGUAAGAAAUAUAGCUGUGGAAGAGCUGAAUCAGAGGAACUCGAUUUUUGCAUCAUGCUUAUGAUGAGUAAAUGUUAGGUCUUCAGUAGAUCAUGUGUGUGUAAGCUCCUUGGUAAGAAUCCCUUGUCACACCCCCUUUUUACACCACCCGAAAGGUAGUACAAGGGAAUUUUUCCGCUUUAAGUGACAUUAUUUUAAAGGGAUUAUUUAUUUAUCAGAGUCGCCACUUGGGAUAGUUUGUUUUCUGGUGUCCCAAGCCACCGGUUUAUUUAAAUCCCAAAU
rnacentral:lncRNA from 1 species